rnacentral:rRNA from 1 species
GACGAACGCUGGCGGCGUGCUUAACACAUGCAAGUCGAACGGAAAGACCCUGCUUUUGUGGGGUUCUCGAUUGGCGAACGCGUGCGUAUCACGUGUGUAACCUGCCCUUGUCUUUGGGAUAACAUCAGGAAACUGGGGCUAAUAUCGGAUCGGAUCUCAUGUUGCGUGGUGGGGGUUGGAAAGUUUCGGCGGUUGGGGAUGGACUCGCGGGUUAUGGGCUUGUUGGUGGGGUUGUUGAUGACCCAGGGUUUGAAGGGUAGUCCGCCUGAGAGGGUGAACGGCGACAAUGGGACUACGAGACGGCCCAGAGUCCUACGUGAGGCAACAGUGGGGAGUAUGGCACAGUGGGCGGGAGCCUGAGGCAGCGGCGCCGCGUGCGGGAUGACGGCCUUCGGGGUGUAAACCGCUUUCGCCUGUGACGAAGCGUGAGUGACGGUAAUGAAUAAAGAAGCACCGGCUAACUACGUG